rnacentral:lncRNA from 1 species
UAGGGAGGGGGACCUGGGAAUCCUGCUUCACUUUAUGUCACAGGCCCGUUUAUAUCUGUUCAUGACAGAAACAGCUGGAACACCAGAAGCAGGAGAUUGCAUCUGAAUUCAAGCAAGUGCGCCAGGUUUUGAAGCAGGGAGAGCAGCUCCUGUGUAACCACCUGGAAGGCACAAUACAGGACCUUGGGAAGACGAGGAAUAAAAAUACUAAGGGGCUAUUACUUCUCGAUCACUGCAUAGCUGAGAUAAAUCAGAAGUGCCAGCAGCCGGUGAAUGAACUCCUCAAGGUGUGAGCAGGUGAAAGGGGAAGAGGAGGCGCCUGUUGAUUCUUUGACUGAAGUGAAGAGCAGAGUGCAGGCUCUCUCGGAAAGCCGGAAAGUUCUGUGUGAUCUGCUGAACAAUCUCAGAGUGAAAUUGGGUCCUCUUGAAAACGUCUCGUCUGAGGUUCAGAGACAAGUGAGUGGUGAAGACCCAACGGAGGAUGUUCCCGAGAACCUUAAACAAGAGGACACUUCUGUUUGCCUGCUGGACUAUGAGGUAUUGUAUUCUGUGGCCGUUCGGGGAGCUGGGUGCCAGGAAUGGGCGUUAGUGGUCGUCAGAAAGUCUAGAGCAGAUCCGCAGUAGGUGUAAAUGGGCGUAACUCAAUUGAAGACAAAUGGAUUGAAGUCAGUGACGCUUCUGUGGUCUACACCAGUUGAGGAUCUGGCCCUUUGAGUCCACUAGGGAUGUUACUAGUGUAAAUCGAUUCUCUGUGGAGGGUGAUAAGGUGCUACAUGUGGAAUCUAACUAUGUCAAUGAAAUGUUUGCGGUAGGGCUGAGUGAAAGUCAGUAUUUCUGUUUGAUAGUUCCACAUUUGUUUCCAUCUUGAAUCAGGAUGAAAAGUCAACAUAUCCAUUUUUUUUUUUCACUGAAUGGAAAGUUCUGAAAAAUUUUGAUUUGGAAAUGUCCAAACGUUUAAUUUCCAGUGAGUUUUGACAUUAAACUGCAUCUACCUUUGAUGACUGCAGUGCCUCAUGGGAACUGUAGUUGGGUGCUUCAUGCCCCCAUUCUCCCUUAUGGGCCUGGUCCCCAUUUUGGACUACAUCUCAUGAUGCAUCUCAGUCGAAGGUGGGAAUGCAGUGCAUCGUGGGAGAUGUAGUCCACCCAUGUGCCUGGCCUACAGGGGAGAAUGUGGACAUGAGGCAACUGAACUACAACUCCCAUGAGGCAUUGGAGCAUGUGAGGCAGAUGCAGUUUAAUG